CAAAAAACAGGACUCUGAUCUUUGCUUGAUGUUCCAAAAAUCUGUCUCAUCUGGAUUCCCAUGGGUCAAUCAGUUUCCCUUUUUGCUGGUUCUUCUAAUUUAGGCACAGUUUUAUUUGCCCAGUUUGUGCAUGUAGCAGAAUGAGAGUUUACAGUAAACCCAACCUGCCAGUGAGCAAAUAGAUAUAGAAAUACAGAUUCACAUGGAUACAUGCUUCUCACCAGAUCCUUUCAACUCAUCAUGGCUUCUCAGGGACAGACAGAGAAACCUGCAGAGAAAUGGCUUAGCACAUGCACACACUUUUCCAGACACACAAUGAGCAAUGACCAGAGGACAUCACUUUUACCAGCACUCACGAGUUACGUAUAGUACUAUAGUUAUUGGACAAUUCAUGAAGUGCAGACAAUAUGCUUAGUGAUGGACCCACUUUCGUUAUUAGGCUGGAAAAACAUCUGCUUCUAACAUCCCAACCCUUUUGUUUCAUGGUUACCAAGGCACCUUGCACAGAAGACAAUAGCAGGCUGGCCACCUCUGCCCAGCUUCCCCAGCAGCCUACACAGUGCAUCACCACAUCUGACUGGGACAUGGACAGGAGAGAUACUGCCCUCUCUGUCCCACAGAACUGUAUUUCCAGUGGACUAACACAGAAGUCAUAG
rnacentral:lncRNA from 1 species